ACAUGCAAGUCGAACGGGUGUAGCAAUACAUCCGUGGCGAACGGGUGCGUAACACGUGGAUAACCUUCCUUCAGGUGGGGAAUAACCCAGUGAAAAUUGGGCUAAUACCGCAUAACAAGACGAGGGCACAUGCUUUUGUCUUCAAAGGCGCAAGUCGCCAGAAGAGGGAUCCGCGGCCGAUUAGCUUGUUGGCGGGGUAACGGCCCACCAAGGCAUUGAUCGGUAGCCGGAUUGAGAGGUUGGCCGGCCACACUGGAACUGAGACACGGUCCAGACUCCUACGGGAGGCAGCAGUGGGGAAUCUUGCACAAUGGGCGAAAGCCUGAUGCAGCAACGCCGCGUGGGGGAUGAAGCUUCUCGGAGUGUAAACCCCUUUCGACCCGGAAGAAAGCCCGCAAGGGUUUGACGGUACGGGUAUAAGAAGCCCCGGCUAACUACGUGCCAGCAGCCGCGGUAAUACCUAGGGGGCCAGCGUUGCUCGGAAUUACUGGGCGUAAAGGGUCCGUAGGCGGUGUGGCAAGUCGGGAGUGAAAUCUCUGGGCUUAAC
rnacentral:rRNA from 1 species